rnacentral:lncRNA from 1 species
GCCAGAUACCUUUUUAUUGAAGAUCUUGGCGCAGUUAAACAAUAAUUUGGGGAAUAAGGAAUUUUUGGAAUAAGGAAUUAAUAAAGAAGGAAUAAAGGAGAAAAAUGAAACACAACACUAUGAAAUAGAGGGGUGAGUGUGAUACUGUGAGGUCUUAUCUUGGUGAUUCCAGAAUUCUAAAAUAAAUGGAAAGAGCCUCAACUAUCAAACUGACAAUGCAACCAACUUCACCUACCUGGUGGGAGAGGUUGCAUCGAGCAUUCUCAAGCAGCAAACCUCACAGCUUCUGUGCUCAGUGAAUCCCUUCCCUUAUCGCCAGGUAGCAAGUCCUUGAUGAAAGACUUGAUUGGCUCAGCUUUAACCAGAGGCCAUUCCCUGGACCAUUCAAAGAACCAGAGGUGGGGCCAGGUAAGCUUUUUGUAGCUACUGUAGAAACACAGAUGGGAGAAGGAAUGCCAUUUGGCUGACAAGACUG